rnacentral:lncRNA from 1 species
ACUAGAAUCAAGUCCAUGGGUUGCAAAUGCUGAGUUCUUGCUACCUGUGCAUGAGGGAGGGCUGGAGGAUAGCAACAUCAAUCACAUCCCUGCCUUGCAUAUCCUGAACCAAUUGAGAAAUAUGCCAACAGGUCAGAUGUCCAUCCAGUCCAAGUAGACUAGCAAUCUGACCUCAGGCCUCUCAUUAACCAGUGGGCUGUUCCCGGAGUAAUGAAGGCAGAUAAUGCAUCCUGAGAUACCAGUCCAGUGGAGCACACAAACUCACCCCAGUGACCUACAUGAAGAGAUCCUCUGAAGCAUGUGCUGAGCUAAACAGAGAGCCCACCAUUCUGAAUAAGCUGGAAAAAUCCACCACCUCCAGCUGUAAAGCUUAUAGAACAAGACUGAUAAUUUUAAAAUGUAGUUUCUUGAUAAAAGACAUCUUCAGGAUUCUCAAAAUGCUGCAUCCAUCUCACUGUGUUCCUAGAUCGUGAAAGGGUGGCUUUCUACCACUUAAUGAUGCAGAGAUCCAGGUUCCUUCUGUCCUCUGAUUCCACUACCUUUGGGCCUCCAAGUCUUCAGCCUCCAGCCUGCAAAGGAGGGAGUAAUGGGGGGCAGGGGUUUGUGGAUCAGCUUUAGAAGUAGCACAUAUGACUUAUGCUUACGUUCUAUUUUGCUGGAACUCAGCAAAUGGUUGGACUGAAGUGUGAUGAGACUGAAAAUGUGGUUUCUGUCUGGGAAGCCACGUCCUGGUGAAAAUAGCACAAUUGGAAAGGUCAAAUCACAAACUUUUGUUAGCAGAAGCUGCUUCUGCCAUAUAUGGAGAAAGGUUUUAGAAGAAAUUAAGUUCUCUAGAGGGAAAAUAAAUAUUCAUCACAC